GGAAGGGCUGAGCUGGAGGCAGAGCCUGGUGUGGGACCGGGAGGCUGCGGUGGUUCACGGCGCUGUUGUUGCAGCCACCCAUUUAUGACACCGGUGGCGAGGCGGUGGCGUGUGCUGUGCUCUGAGACAACGCGUGCGAUUCAGACUAUCCUUGUUACCGGCUCUAGUCACUCAUCCAGGACUGCAUGAAAUGGGGACUGCAAUGGGGAAAAAUGUCAGCUUUUCUGCAAGCCAAGAAGGGCUCCGUGGCAUAUCUAUAUUUACUCAUGCAAAGACGUGAAGACUGCCCAAGAGUCAGUGUUUGUAAGUGCUUCCCAGAGCGACUGUGGCUGGGAGAGGCCAGGGUGGGAGCAGCCGCAGCAUCUACCAGCAGUGCUCUCACAGUGACCCCUGCUGGGUCUGCGUCCAAAGCUCCCCUGCCUCCACGAACAACCCAGAAGCUCUGACUGCAGCUCAGAUUUCGUGCUCUUGAAUGCUUGCUUCUUUUCCAGAACAGUUA